AUUUGGCUUGGCUAAAAAUUGUAUAAAGGAGGUCAAAAGUAUAAUUUACUAGCUUAUUAGUCUAUUUUUAAGAACAAAUGAACAUGUAUAUUUUUAAGGCCAAUAAUCAUAUGUCAUCGAAAAGAAAAAAGGCCAAUAAUCUUUUUUUUUACUAGAAAUUACAAAAAGGAAGAAAAAAGAAAAAGAAAAAUUUAACUAAUAAAGAGCAACGAACAAAUGUUGGUCUAUCAAAAUUCAGUUGAGUAAGAAAUUUUCUAAUGUGUGGCUAGAUUUUUCGGGACUUGAAAAUUUUACUAAAAUAAUAAAGAAGAAAUAACGAAAAAUAUUGAAGGCAAAAAACAAGGAAGGAGGCACAAACUCUACAAGCAAGUGAAAAUUACAUGUCUUUCUUUUCCGGAACAAGAGAAAGAUGACCCUAUGAGCACGUAGUAUAAAAGCUAAGGAUGGAAGGCUAGUCAUCCCUUUUAACUCUACGUAGCUGAUAGAAACCGUAAGGCACAAGCAAUUAUUAGAUACGAUUAAAUGCAUAAUUUUAAGCUGUUAUAAUUUUAAUCUUUAAAUUUAAAUACAUGUUAUUAAGAUUACUUGUCCCUAAAUGUUUUUUAAAAGCGGUCAUUUAGGUGAACACUCUUGAUGAAUACAAAAUAUAUAUUUGCACCUUUUAAGUCUCCUCGUUUGACUCUUCUUGACUCUAGCUAGGAGUAUCUGUAUAUAUUGUUUAGGGAAUUGUUCAAAAUGUUAAUCUACACGUAUUUUGUUUGUCUUUAUUGUAUAAAUAAUUCAUAAACCUUGAGUGCAAUAAUGAAUUCAGAGUAUUAAAGACAACUUAAAAAAUAAAGACAGACAAAAGCUAUGCUAUAUAACACUCACUACUACAAAAUGGGCCUAAGGGGACGGAUAGACAUCUGUGCCUUUAAAGCAACAAAUAGAGACAGAUAAUGGCAUCUGUGCCUAUGCGUCGUCUUCUCCCGGUUGGAUGCUGCCACGGCGUCCAGGUCCGGCAUCGGCUUGGCCUGUACUUGGCGGUGACAGCAAAUCGGCACAGAGGAGGUGUUUCGGGUGUCGAAUCUAUUGUUUCUGGUGUUGGUAGGUUUUGUCUAGAGGUUAGUGGAUGCAUGUGAGACGGUGGGUGACAUUGUAUUAAAUUGCACUACCACGAGCUUACUCAAAAUCUCUAAACCCCACGGCCACGAGAUUACUGUUCAAUUCCCAUUUUAGGGUUUUUAUCUAUUCAUCAAGUAAGUCUGCUCUAUACCCGGGUCAGUGCAAUUUAGGCUUUGUAAAAUCAACAAAAAUGUGUGGUCGUUCUAAGGAAGCCGAAGUACCAUUGGAGCAGGUUAGAGCAGUAUGGAAGCAAGUACUUCUGAAGUGUUUAGAUUCAAUGUAUUAAAGUUCAAUUAAACUAGUUCUCCUUGAUACAGAGGCUUCUGCACAACUGUGGUUAAUUGGAGUUUAGUUGUUUUUGGGAGAGAAUGUAAUACUAGGUUUUGGAUUUUGUUGAUGUAUUGUUGAAUAUCUGAACUUUUAAGAUUUCAAUGGAAAAGAUAUAAUGAGAU